GGGGGUGUAGCUUAUUGGUAAAGCAAUUGCCUAGUAUGCAAGUGGCCCUGAAUUCAAUUCCCAGCACCACAA
rnacentral:tRNA from 1 species